GUGAUCACUUCAGCUGCACUUAUACUAAAAUUGAAAGAAUACAGAGAAGAUUAGCAUGGCCCCUGUCCAAGGAUGAAAUGCAAAUUUGUGAAGUGUUCCAUAUUUAA